GUUUGAUUCGGCCCCCAAAGAUGAUUCAUAUCUGUCAUUGAAUCAGCUCACUCCUCAUCCAGAGUAAUAGGUUGGGGUUUAGCUUCCAACUCUGCCAAUGCCUCAGAACUUCUGGCUUCCGACUUCUCAUUUGAAUAAGUGGAUAAUAUGGUGACCCACACCAGCUCCACACAGUCCACCCAUAGAAGCCUCUGCUCGACUGGUACUACACCAUAUGUAAUCAGGUGAGCAAAAG
rnacentral:misc_RNA from 1 species